rnacentral:rRNA from 1 species
AUUGAACGCUGGCGGCAUGCCUUACACAUGCAAGUCGAACGGCAGCACGGGAGCAAUCCUGGUGGCGAGUGGCGAACGGGUGAGUAAUAUAUCGGAACGUGCCCGGUCGUGGGGAUAACGUAGCGAAAGCUACGCUAAUACCGCAUACGAUCUACGGAUGAAAGCGGGGGAUCGCAAGACCUCGCGCGAUUGGAGCGGCCGAUAUCAGAUUAGGUAGUUGGUGAGGUAAAGGCUCACCAAGCCGACGAUCUGUAGCUGGUCUGAGAGGACGACCAGCCACACUGGGACUGAGACACGGCCCAGACUCCUACGGGAGGCAGCAGUGGGGAAUUUUGGACAAUGGGCGCAAGCCUGAUCCAGCCAUGCCGCGUGCAGGAUGACGGUCCUAUGGAUUGUAAACUGCUUUUAUACAGGAAGAAACACUACUUCGUGAAGUAGCUUGACGGUACUGUAAGAAUAAGGAUCGGCUAACUCCGU